AGAGUUUGAUCCUGGCUCAGAACGAACGCUGGCGGCAGGCUUAACACAUGCAAGUCGAACGCCCCGCAAGGGGAGUGGCAGACGGGUGAGUAACGCGUGGGAAUCUACCUAGCUCUACGGAAUAGCUUCGGGAAACUGGAAUUAAUACCGUAUACGCCCCAAGGGGGAAAGAUUUAUCGGAGUUAGAUGAGCCCGCGUUGGAUUAGCUAGUUGGUGGGGUAAUGGCCUACCAAGGCGACGAUCCAUAGCUGGUCUGAGAGGAUGAUCAGCCACACUGGGACUGAGACACGGCCCAGACUCCUACGGGAGGCAGCAGUGGGGAAUAUUGGACAAUGGGCGCAAGCCUGAUCCAGCCAUGCCGCGUGAGUGAUGAAGGCCUUAGGGUUG
rnacentral:rRNA from 1 species